rnacentral:lncRNA from 1 species
GUUUAGAACUAAAAAAAAAAUGACUAGGAGGGUCUUCUGUGGAAGCUGCUUCUGGAGGAGUUGGGGAGCCUGAGGACUGAGGCAGAAAGUAGAAUCUAAUACCAGUCUCCUCACCUAUAUUAUGUAAGGGUUAAAAUUAAAGGAGUGGACUAAAUAUAUAAGAGUGUGGUUACAAAAUCAAUAUAUCUCAAGUCAGAAUGACUUUUUUAUGGUAGUUUGUUUACAAAAGGAGAAAGAGUGAAAGUAAGGAAAUGAGAGAGAGUAGAUAUUUACUCUGGCCCAGCCUAAACCUGGCAAGGCUUCAGAGACCCCAGCAAAGGGGGCCCACAGGUUAAUUUAAACAAAGUUUCUAACCACAAUACCUCCUCUAUGACGAGGGGCUUCUCCGAAGGCUGGUACCUCCAGAAAAGCCAGGAAAGGGAGACAGCCUUUUUCACUCAUCCAUGUAGUAGUUCUAAAGGAAAAAUCAAAGAGCAGUCUGAGGUCCCCAAGCUGGUGCUUCUUCAAGGUCAAGUUCCAAGGAGAAAGAGCUGGUCACAGGAAGUUCUUGCCACUUUUAAAGACCCUUCCUUUCAUCACUUCCUGUGCCUUGCUUCCACUUUAUGUGGACCAAUUGCAGCUAUAGCUUUGCUUAGGAAUGCCCAGGGUCAGUCAGUGGAUUUUGAUUUUUCACCCACUAUAGCACACCAUGGGUCACAUACCUUCCCUUAUUUAAGGAUAAGUGGGGUGUAUAUGCUUCCGAUGAUUAAAUCUAAAAGUGGACAGGGGAGAGUUAAUCCCAUCUUCACAAUUAUCAGAUACUAUUGUGGAAAGGAAACAAGACUGACAGUUUGUGGGGGAAGGGGCAACUGGGAGUGGCAGUUGGGUCUUGUGACUAGCACUUCCUUCCUGCUGGGUUUGACUUCCUUCCUGGUGUUGGAGGAGGGAGGAGCUUGUUCAGCCCAGUCUGGUGUGGUGUGCCUCUUCUUGCUUCAGCCUGAAGAUUCAGCCCAAUCACUUCUGAAGUCAUUGCCAUCACAGAUAUAUGAUGAGGAUUCCAAGGUCCAGUUAGAGCCAAGUCUGGAAGAAGAAGCUAUUCUUCCCUAGCCUUGCAAAUGUACCUUCCCCACCAGGAGCCUUCAGAAGCCUUGAGCAUGAUGGGGCCAGUGACUGUGUAGUCUCAUUCAAAAAGCUCGCCUGCUUCCUCCCUUCCUGGGCAACAUAGGACUCCACAAGGAGACUGGUCCUGGUGGACAGAAGUGCCCUCAGGGCACAUCGGGGCCAGGAAGUGGUGAUACACCUUUCCAAGCACAGGUAUUGCAUGUCUCAUCAUUGUCCUCUAAAUGAAUCUAGGAUUCCUGAUCCACUUGCUCUUGUAAUGGGGUGAAAUUCUGCUGUAAUCUCACCAUUCUUUUUUUUUUCCCCACAUGUGUUGACAACAGAGUCGUCAAUAGGCCAGUCUAUAAUGGGAAUAAUUACCAAAUAAGAACUAUCCCACCAACCUCAGAGGGUUAGAAUGAACUAGUUUGAGUACAAAAUCCCAGAGUAAUAACUGAUUACUAAUAUAAAUAACUGAUUAUAAUCUAUGGUUAAAUAGAAAAAACUGAAUAUAAUUUGAAAAAUACUGAGGGUUAAAUGAUACCCCAGCAACCCCCAAAGAGAAUAGCAUCAUGACUAUACACAGUGACACAGAAGGCAGAAAUAACUUGAUGGCAAGCACUAUAACAGUGACCAGAAGAAAUGAAGGAAGAGAGAAAAAUUGAAAUCAGAAAUUAAAUGAAAGCCAGAAGGGAAAAAACAAAAGGAGGAUAAAUAGCUUUGGAGAAUUGAACCUUAUGAAAGUACUGGGCUUUGUAAAAAGUAGAAUGGUGGAAAAAAAUUAAAUGACUUUACAAGACUACAAGAAAUAUUAGACAAAAUAAAAAGCAGAAAAAAUAGAAGAAAAUGUAAGAU